CGAAGAACCUUACCAGGUCUUGACAUCCCUGACAACCAAGAGAUUGGGCGUUCCCCGUCGGGGGACAGGGUGACAGGUGGUGCAUGGUUGUCGUCAGCUCGUGUCGUGAGAUGUUGGGUUAAGUCCCGUAACGAGCGCAACCCUUGUCCUUAGUUACCAGCACGUUAAGGUGGGCACUCUAAGGAGACUGCCGGUGACAAACCGGAGGAAGGUGGGGAUGACGUCAAGUCAUCAUGGCCCUUACGGCCUGGGCUACACACGUGCUACAAUGGUCGGUACAAAGGGUUGCCAAGCCGCGAGGUGGAGCUAAUCCCAUAAAACCGAUCGUAGUCCGGAUCGCAGUCUGCAACUCGACUGCGUGAAGUCGGAAUCGCUAGUAAUCGUGAAUCAGAAUGUCACGGUGAAUACGUUCCCGGGCCUU
rnacentral:rRNA from 1 species